GAAAGAAUCUUGCACAUUUUCAACUUUCAGUCACAGAUUUUUUUUUUUUAUUUUUUUUUUUCUAAGAGCAAUUGGAGGUCUGAGCCAGCCCUCAAAGCGGAAAUCAAAAGCUCCCAGAGAAACAUACCCCAGGAAUGUGAAUCUGAUCCAAGAACCAUACGCAAUGCACAUACAGUACUGUCAGUCUUAUAGGAAGUCUGGCCAUAUACGGACAUCUGGACCCCGAGCUGUUUAUCAUCAUGAUAGGCUUCUAGCUGGCUUCAAACAUUUCUGGCUUGCCUCGGCUUCAGGACGCCAAUUAGUUCCUUUCCCAAAAUGCUCACCAGGAUAUUUUUUUAAAAAAAAUUGUAAUAAAUAUAUCUCCAAAAUCCUGAGAGGUCUAGUUAAAGUUACGCUAGUAGACUUUUGCUUAAAAGGCAGAUUCCAGGCAAGACUUGCUCUGCUAGCUCAGAAAUAGACACAGAAUAAAAAUAACGAGAUUUAUUCCAUCGUGAGUGUGGUUGCCUGGUAUUUGCCUUUCUUAGAAGUCAUCUGGUAACUUAUUCUAUGUAUCUGUAGGCAUAGAAAGUGCUCUGAAGCAGACUCCUUGCUGGACUUUUGCUUAUUCUUUUCUGGAGGGAGGUGUGAGCUGAUGAAUCAAAAAAGGCAAAGUGAAAUAGGGAAAAAACAAACAAACUUCAAUUCCCAGGAGGUGUCAGGCGAGUUGUCCACAUUGUGCCAUUUGUGUUGCUUCGUUAGAGCACUGUUAGCUCUCCUCCAAAGGGAACCACAGGAAGAAGAAGAAGAAGAAGAAGAAGAAGAAGGUGGCUGGGAGGAGCAGUUGGAUGGCGUAAGGCCUAUGGAAAUGUUUGCUGCUCAACUGGUGGACCCAGUCCAAGUUCCUCGAGAUACUGGGUCAGAUUCUCUGCUGGCGUCAGUUGGGCAGAUUUCACCGAAUGCAGUGUUGGCCAUCAAAAUACUUGGACUUGAGAAGUCCAAGUCCAUUGAGCUGAAGUAUGAACAAAGCAAAACCAUCAGAUGCAAAGCAAAACCAUUAGCAGAUCCGAGUUCUGUUGUUUUCCGUAAUCAUCAUUAUUUCAACUUAUGUCCUUUAUGUUCUAACGUGUAAUAUUUUGUUACUUCUAGAGUCACCAAGAAUACUUCUUUAAGCUUUUGGCUUCGUUCUUAGAAAGUAGCUGUAGGUUGUUGGUUUUUUUAGGAACGUGUGUGGUCUUAAAGCAGCAAAGUGAUUGCUGGAAGAAGAAUAAUCUAAAUGGGUAUUCAAAGCACUUGUAACACUGUAUGAAAGAGAGAUCAUAAGCCAAGGUCCUUUACCUACCAACCCUCAGGUCCUGUAUAUCUGAUUUUAUUCCGUAGGGAGCAGCAUUCACUCCACCUGUGCAGAGGUUUGGCUGUGUCCUGGACCUGUGUCAUAGGAUUUUGUGGGGAAGCGUAGAGCCCUUCCACAAAUCAUGAAGGCACAAGAGGACUCACAAGACACAGAGGGCUGAAUUUCAAAUUCCCUGGGAAAAGCUUUCUUAUUUCACCGUCUUACCUGUAGUGAGACCUCACCUAGACCUUAAAUAUCUUUUUUCUUCCCUUCACAAAUAACUCGUGAAGAGUGAUGGUAGAGUACAUGACUUGGGAAGCGUGCUUUGUAUUUCUACUUUUUGGGGUUUUUUUGCCAUCAAGCUGCCACAGGGGGGAGUAGAAGUUUGGAAAGGACAGUGCUGCCCAAGAAGCCACCCGGGCAAGAGUUGUUGCAUUCCUGGUGCAGUUAUCCCAGAGAAGAACGGGCACAGAAGCAGCGUGGAUGUGCUAGGAAUGAAAGGGUUGGUUGGAGGAAGGAGCUGCAGGGUUUCUGCAGCUGGGACGGGCCGAAUGCUUCGCUGCUGUCGCAAAACCACGCUGUUUUUCUUAUUCAUUCCAACCGGCUUUUCGGUUGGAAAAGGGGAAUGUGAGUGAAUUGUUUUCCUGCCUCGGGAGGGAAGACGACGUGUGGGAGUUGUACAGUAUUUGCAAAAUCCCUGUCGUUCUGACGAAAGGCUUUUCCCACGUUAGGACUAUUGGCUAAUGAAGAAAAAAUGUGAGGCAGAGGCAAAGUGUCCCUGCAAGGCCAGGGAAGUUUGGCCGACUUGAUAGGAAGGGGUUGUUCUUGUUGGGACUAUUAGCCUUGGUGAAAUCUGCUUUGCCUGCUUAAUGCAGGAGUAGCUGGACUCUCUGUGGGUCCUGUGCAGCGAGGAUGAGGAGGGAGGGUUUUACGACCCAGCGAGGUCUGGAUGAUGCUCUUCUGAGCACCUUUGGAUCCCCAUCUCCUUUUUUCCUGGCCCCGCUGGGCUCAGGAACGGGCUGUUUUUGAGGGGCACAGAGGAGCCAUUACAUGUUUCUUGCUUUUCCAGGUCGGAGUUGGGGAGUUUUAACAUUGAACAAUCAAGUCAACCUGUUUUUUUGUGAAAGAAUGAAGUAAUUUUCAGGAAUUACUUACUGAUGAGGAAAGUAACCGAAAGGAUUGACUCAGGCACGUUUUCUUUUAUAUAAUCCUCUGGAUCCAAGGGCACAGAUCUGUAAUGAAAUAGAGUAACCAAGAAAAAGGAAGAGUUA